rnacentral:rRNA from 1 species
GAUGAACGCUGGUGGCGUGCCUAAUACAUGCAAGUCGAGCGAACGGACGAGAAUCUUUCUUCUCUGAUGUUAGCGGCGGACGGGUGAGUAACACGUGGAUAACCUACCUAUAAGACUGGGAUAACGUCGGGAAACCGGAUCUAGCACAGGACGAUAGUUUGAACCGCAUGGUUCAAAAGUGAAAGACCGUCUUGCUGUCACUUAUAGGUGGAUCCGCGCUGCAUUAGCUAGUUGGCAGGGUAACGGCUUACCAAGGCAACGAUGCAUAGCUGACCUGAGAGGAUGAUCGGCCACACUGGAACUGAGACACGGUCCAGACUCCUACGGGAGGCAGCAGUAGGGAAUCUUCCGCAAUGGGCGAAAGCCUGACGGAGCAACGCCGCGUGAGUGAUGAAGGUCUUCGGAUCGUAAAACUCUGUUAUUAGGGAAGAACAUAUGUGUAUGUAACUGUGGACAUCUUGACGGUACCUAAUCAGAAAGCCACGGCUAACUACGUG